UUUAAUCCACAAAGAGAGGCUAGUACAUAUUGUAUUAUUCAGAUCACCUGAUUGUAUAGAAGGUUAUAGAGGUUACGAGAUUUUAAUAACUAGACCUCACUAGAUUAAAUAAAGAUGCCGUUUGUAACUGUUACCACCAACGCGUCUGCGUCUCUUAUCACAGACACGUUUGCAGCUACACUUGGUAAAACUGUAGGUGAUUUCCUGGAUCGACCAGAACAGUACGUGACAGUUCGAAUGGUACCCGAUCAGUUGAUGUUUACUGGAGGUAAACCCAUUCCAUUUGUUCAAGUUAUUAUAGAGAGCCUCAGUGCAUUAAACCCAGAUAAAAAUGCUGAAAUUACACCUGUUGUGACGAAAAUCAUCGAGGAGAACUUAAAGAUUCCAGCUGAACGAAUCCUGUUCAAGUUCGUGUUACUGGAUCCUACUGAUGUUGGAAUCAAUGGUAAAACUUUUCCAGCGGGAUUCGGUCAAUAAGUUAGUCGACGUCACACGAUAUUCAGCAUGUUAUGAUCAAGGCAACUGAAGCCUGAUAUCCAUGGUGAUUCAAAUAUUGAUUAUUAUUGUUUUAGUGAAAUAAACACGUGAUCAAAUAUGUCACGCUUUCAAAUGA